AUUGAACGCUGGCGGCAUGCUUUACAUAUGCAAGUCGAACGGCAGCGCGGGCUUCUGCCUGGCGGCGAGUGGCGAACGGGUGAGUAAUAUAUCGGAACGUACCCAAGAGUGGGGGAUAACGUAGCGAAAGUUACGCUAAUACCGCAUACGAUCCAAGGAUGAAAGCAGGGGACCGCAAGGCCUUGUGCUCCUGGAGCGGCGGAUAUCUGAUUAGCUAGUUGGUGAGGUAAGGGCUCACCAAGGCAACGAUCAGUAGCUGGUCUGAGAGGACGACCAGCCACACUGGAACUGAGACACGGUCCAGACUCCUACGGGAGGCAGCAGUGGGGAAUUUUGGACAAUGGGGGCAACCCUGAUCCAGCAAUGCCGCGUGAGUGAAGGAGGCCUUCGGGUUGUAAAGCUCUUUUGUCAGGGAAGAAAAGGCUGUGGCUAAUAUCCACAGCUGCUGACGGUACCUGAAGAAUAAGCACCGGCUAACUACGUGCCAGCAGCCGCGGUAA
rnacentral:rRNA from 1 species